rnacentral:lncRNA from 1 species
AUAUCGAUAUGAUUUUAUAGUGUAAAAAAUUUUCUGUCAUAAUUUCACGUGAUUUUAAUAUUUGUACACAGCUAAACUGGCAAACGGCUUACCCCACGAUCAUUCAAAUUGUUGAUUUUGGGCCCCUUCAAUCACAAGAUAAACGGUAUCAAAAAAUCACAAAAUUUAUUUUCUAGAUACUUCAAAUAGUGUAGUAUAUAUCAAAAACAAUUUGAUAGUACAGAGGCUACCGUGCUUCUAAAAGUACACUAGCCUAUAU